rnacentral:rRNA from 1 species
UACAGAGGUCUCAAGCGUUGUUCGGAUUCAUUGGGCGUAAAGGGCGCGCAGGCGGUCAUUUUUGUCGAGUGUGAAAGCCCCGGGCUUAACCUGGGAACUGCGCUCGAAACGGGAUGACUAGAGAUCGGGAGAGGAGAGUGGAAUUCCCAGUGUAGAGGUGAAAUUCGUAGAUAUUGGGAAGAACACCGGUGGCGAAGGCGGCAUCCUGGACCGACACUGACGCUGAGGAGCGAAAGCCAGGGGAGCAAACGGG